rnacentral:lncRNA from 1 species
CUACCAUCUGCUAGAGUCCGAAGCUCUCAUUCUUCCAAGAAUUCAACCUCAACUUAGAAGUGUUGAAAGUUGAGUGCAACUCCAUCCAUUCCACCACCUAAGUAUAAACAAACCUCCUUCAGUAUCUGGCAAAGCUGUGAUACUCCUCGAUUAAGUGAAAAGUGGCUAUACACUGCUUUUGAGCAUCACUGCCAACAUAUUGGGCUUUUCCCUAACAUAUUACACCUCUUCAGUGAGGCCAGUAACUAUAAAGUUAAGUUCCCCCACUUGCUAUUUCAAAGCAGCGUUUUCCUUAUUUGACAUCUCCAAGGCCUCAACAACUAUUUUCUGAUGUGCAUCAGAAGUUUCCACUAGCUUAAUUAGAGAAGCUACUUCACUCUGAGACAAAUGGACUUGUUUUUUAAAUUCUCAAUCUUUGCUAAGGUAGAAGCGAGUUUCAGGGACUCUUCAGCUUGCUGCUUUUUAGCCGCAUCGGCAUUUGCCUUGGCUUUCUUGGCCGCUUCCUCAACCUGAGAGGUCUUAUUAAAAAAUUCUUUAUUUUUCUUUUGAAGGUUUUUAAAGAAGACUUCAGCCUCUAUAGAGAUUUCAAAUGCCCUCCAUGUUUGACUCACCAUUGGGUAAACAUAUUUGUCGAAUCACUGGAUUCCACAAAGGUCUUCCACCUAUCAGUCCAGUAUUUAUGAAAUGUGGUAGUGGCCUUUUUGACUUUUGAAUGUAGCAUGGAUAAUAUCUCUGGAGCCAGUUCAUUGCUCUACUUGGACAAUGAGAACUUGGUUAGGGAAGGGCCAUAUCAGUUGCAACCAAGGUAUUGCUUGAUGUCCUUCCUUUCUUUAAAGACUCCUGCCUUAGAGACUCCACUAUAGAGGACCUCUUCUGCCUAUCUCACAACAGGGAUAGAGGUUGCCAUUCAUUUUUCCCUGCCAAGACUUCAAAUCGAGGGGGUAGGUUCACAUUAAACCACCUUCCCCGGUGAAAGAGAAUAAAGAUUUUCUCUUGAGAACCUCCCCUACCUUACUUUCCCCUUAUCCUUUAGAGGGUGAUCAUCCCUCACCUUUAUGGUUGGCCACUUCCUCACUGACUUUAUUCACUUUGUCCCUUACCUACUUAGCAAUAGCGAAUGAGGGCUUGAACCUCUUUUUCCCAACAAUGGAGGUUACGACUAGGAUGGAAGCCAUG